rnacentral:rRNA from 1 species
AUGCAUGGUCACUUUGAGAAACUCUAUGAAGACCGGGCUACAUGGGUGCCAUGUUACUUCAAAUUCAGGUUCUUCCCUUUCCUUCAGUCAAUGCAAAGCAGCGAAGGGUUCAAUGUUGUGUUGAAGCGCUAUAUGAACCCUGACAAGUCAAUUCUCAACUUCGUCAAGCAAUAUGAGAAGAUUCAGGUACACAUACUCGUGAGGGAGGGCGGGAAUGACUACCGGACAGAGCAUCUAGACGCACAAAGAUGGUCACGUUUCCCCAUUGAGAGGCAUGCCUACAAAGCAUACACUAGGGACAUCUAUGUGAAAUUUAGAACUGAGUUUCAGAUGAUUGGCCAGUACGAUGUGCGUCCCGCCGGAAUCAACUUCUAUUACCUUGAGCCCAAUACA